GAAGGAACGUUGAAGACGACGACGUUGAUAGGCCGGGUGUGUAAGCGCAGCGAUGCGUUGAGCUAACCGGUACUAAUGAACCGUGAGGCUUAACCUGAAACGCCGUAG
rnacentral:rRNA from 1 species